rnacentral:rRNA from 1 species
UACGUAGGUGGCAAGCGUUGUCCGGAAUUAUUGGGCGUAAAGCGCGCGCAGGUGGUUUCUUAAGUCUGAUGUGAAAGCCCACGGCUCAACCGUGGAGGGUCAUUGGAAACUGGGGAACUUGAGUGCAGGAGAGAAGAGUGGAAUUCCACGUGUAGCGGUGAAAUGCGUAGAGAUGUGGAGGAACACCAGUGGCGAAGGCGACUCUUUGGCCUGUAACUGACACUAAGGCGCGAAAGCGUGGGGAGCGAACAGG